UACGUAGGUGGCAAGCGUUGUCCGGAUUUACUGGGCGUAAAGAGCGCGCAGGCGGUCGUUCAAGUCGCGUGUGAAAGCCCCCGGCUCAACUGGGGAGGGUCACGCGAUACUGAUCGACUCGAAGGCAGGAGAGGGUAGUGGAAUUCCCGGUGUAGUGGUGAAAUGCGUAGAUAUCGGGGGGAACACCAGUGGCGAAGGCGAGUCCCUGGACAACACCUGACACUGAGGCGCGAAAGCUAGGGGAGCAAACGGG
rnacentral:rRNA from 1 species